AAGCGUUUUACAGGUGGUGUUAGCGAGCAGUGACACCUAUGGGUAGAGAAUGAAAGGAACACACGUGGUGUACACACACACACACGCGCGCGCACAUGCACACACACAGCGAGACAUCAUUAACGCACAUGUACAUGUCUUUACACAUUUACCAUGUAUGUGUGUUUACAACAGGGAGUGUGAUAUGUAUAAAACAACGAUAACUCAUGUUAUUAUUAUGAAGUCAACAAUUAAAAUAUCUCAUGUUUGAUUUUUUUUUUCUUAAGGAGGUAUGCUACACCAGAGAAAUUUGAUAUGGAUGAAAAGUUGAGGAUAUGUUCAACAAUAUUUUGAAACUGAAAACUUUCAAAUUUAUUUAUUUAGUAAAAAAAAAAAUACAGUUUUAGUUGAAAGCAAUCAGAGAAAAAUUUAAAACCCCUGCUGCAUGGACUCGAACACGCGAUCUACAGUUCAGCAGUCGACGUUCUAACCUACUGAGCUACUCAUUUAGAUUACUGUGCAGUUUACCGGACAUUCAUAAAUGAUGUCAGUUUUGAUCAGUUGAAAUCUUGUUCGGAGAGAAACAUCACGAAUUGUCCAAACACGUCCUAUUUUUCCAACGAAAUCUACAAGUAUCCCUCCUGUUUGGAGAUAGACCCAGACAACGCGUGUUACAUUGCUGCUUCAGCCUGUUCAAAAACACAAAGAGGAAAUCCAGAAGUCAGUGGUGCGGAGAACCAUUCAUCAUUCAGUACAUGGAUUGCUUUGUUGAUCUGUACAAGUGUAUUAUUUAUUUAGACGUUGUCCGAAUAACCCAUAACAAUUUGAAUUUUAGGUCACCUGAGUUUGCAAUUGGUCUGUGUCCGUCGUCGUCCGUUAACAACUUCUUCUCAUAAACUACUGGGCCAAUCUAUGUAGUAUGUAUGUGAAGGAGACCGGAAAUUGUAAAUUUCAUGACCCCCAACCCUAAGGGGCCUUAAUUUUCCGAUAAAAACCGUAAAAUUAAUGUAUUUUUUAAAAAUCUUCUUUACUCCUGGGCAUCUAGCAGAGAAAGUGAGUAUAUAGUAAUGAUGAGCAAGGAAGCUUCUACCAAAAUUGUAAAUUUCAUGACCCCUGUGGUAGGGAUUCUGACCCCACGGUGAAGCCAAACUUACUACAUUUGUAUAUAGUGUUUAUGUGUAAAACAUUUAAAUAACAUCUCCUUUAGGGCUAUUGAUACUAAAUUGAAACUGAAUGGAUAUUUAGAUAGAGCAGGCAGUCCUUUACUAAAAUUGUAAAUUUGAUGAUCCCAGGGAUAGGGGUUUGGGUAUUAGGGUGGGGCCAAACUUAGUAAAUAGUAAUUAUGUAAAAAUUUGCUGAUACUGUAUAAAAUCUAAAUGCAUACUAAGGAAAAGCAGAAAAGGAUGUACAAGAAAUGGGGUAUUUCAAAGCCCAGGGUUAUGACUCUAGGAUGAGUCCAAAUUAGUAACAAUUUCGAUGCACCAGAUUUGAAGUUUUAAGAAUACAUCUUGUUUUAUACUGUUCCUGAACAAUAGAAUUUAGCUUAGAUAUUCAGAACAGGAUACGUUUUCUAGAUUUUAUAGCCCUUGGGAGUAGUGAUACUUUUUUCACUAGUACUCAGGUGACCGAUAAGGCCUGUGGGCCUCUUGUCUCAACUGGAUUUGGAGUUUCAACAUUUUAGCUAAUUUUCCGGAAGUAUAAAGUGAUGUUGAGUUUGAGAAAUCAACACAUACAGCCACAAUCUUAUACUGCAUCCCAAUAUUUUACAAAAUCCCUUACAAAAAGAUAUAUUGCAUUAUCCAAGAAAUGUUUUACCAUGUCCCUAUCUUUACUCCUCACUCAAUUUUUUUAUAUUAACUGCUGUGAAAGAGAAACGCCAAAUGUACUGCCCCAUAAUUGCUAGAAGUGGUUUAAAUCAAAUGCAGAUCCUCCGAAAUUCCAAGUAACUCUUACUAAUUUGAAAUCACAAAACAUAUUCCAAAAUCAACGAGAUCAAAACGUACAGGAUCUUAUCACCUUAAUAUCGUGUGUUUUCUCUCAACUAAUUCGAUAUGCGAGGGUAUGUUCUCCGUAUGAUCAAUUUUUUAAACCCGAGGCCUAAGUUGAUGUUACAAGGGUUUCAAGUUUCAUUUGGCAAUUUUAUGGUCGUUAUCAUGAUAUUUUUGCAAAUUGUAUUGUGUUGUUUAUUGGCUUUAAGCCUUACUACAUAGUCAAUUACAGAGUAUAAACAAAAAAGCUGUAUAUAAUAUGAAAAGUGGAGUGAAUAUUAGAGGAUGGACAUACAUGAAGAGAGUUAUAAGUCAAGUUUACAUUGUUUUUAAAAACCAACAUACACAUUAGACGAUAGUUUGGCUAGAUCGUAAGAGUAAAGCGCUUUUUAAAAUUUACCCAGAUUACAGAGUUAUUUUCUAUUAUGAAUUGACAUCAAUUGUACCAGUUUACUUUUUUAUAUAUGCAGAUCUGAGGAUUUUGUACAAAGGACAUAUUAAAAUAAAAUGAUAUUCGUCCUCAAUUUCGUUCAAAUUACAAAAUUCACACAAUCGAUCUUGUCUUGGUGUGCCAUUAAAUAUCAACCUUGUUCAAUUCUAAGAUGGUGAGCAGACAAUCUACUUUGCUAAAAGAUUAAUAAGAUUUUCCGGAAUAAAUCUGUCACUGGGUAGAAUGCUGUCUGAAGUGAUUCAUACCGAGUAUAAUGCUAUUUGAUCAAGAUGGGGGCUCACUUCGGGUGUGACCGGUCAACACGAGACACCUGGUUCAACCGCUGAUGUUUCUGGGGUUUUGUCCUCGCCCUGCUCUUAAUUUUGUAUUCUUUUUAGGAUUCAUUAGAUUGAUCACUGUUCGUUAUCUUCACCUUGUUCAUCGAAUGGGAUCAUGAUUUUUAUUUCUAAUGCUGAACAAUUUUUUUUUUAAAAUGGUAUCAAAUCGCACAACCUAACCACCAGGUUUAUAAGAAUGUACUGUGUAUAGCAAGCACAUUUGUGAAGGACCAACUUAUAGAUAACCUUAGAAUUAACGAUCUUGUCGAUAAUCGCGGGAACUCUUUUUUUCUCGAUAAAUUGUUGAUAUUGGUCGAUAAGGAUAUAUCAAAAAACUAUUUUCCCUUGGGAACCGGGAUAGAAUAGGUCCUCAGUACCCCUUGCUUGUAAAAAGCAACUAAAUGGGACCGUCCUUCGGAUGAGACCGCAAAAACUGAGGUCCCGUGUCAUAACAUGUGUGGCAAGAUCCCUCCCUGCUCAAAGACCGUAAGCGGAGUAGAGGCCCAAAUUUUGCAGCCCUUCGCCGGCAAUGAUUACAGCUAUUGCGCAACGUAUUUAUGUCAAUAUGUAAUGGUUCUAUUUCAUUAUGUGGUUUAUUAUUGUCAUUGGCGACAUGUACUCUUUAAAACUGCUUUAUGUAUGCGGGGUAAAAAUUUUGUUAGGGCAGCUAGUCUUGUGCAAUAUACGACCACAACAUUAAUUCAAAAGUGUAAUGGGUUUUUUGGUGGGUUUUUUUUUUUUUUUUUUUUUUUUUACCUUAACUAUGUAUGUCAGCGCUUACUGAAAAAAAAAAGAAUUUGAAGAUGUGCUCAAUGACCUAGACUUUCCCCGCUUCGAUUCGCUUAUUCCCUUGGUUAAAAAUAUAGCAAGUAGCUUCGUCAAUGUAUUUUAGAUAUUCUUGCGAUGAUCAGCCUCUGAAUUACGGACAUUCGGUAUAUUAUAUAUGCGCAUUUAUUUAGUUUUCAUGGAUAGUAGUGUCUCAUGUACAUAUAUUUUCAUUCACUGUGUGUAUUCUGUAUUCUGCUUAACUUUAUUGAAACUAUCACACAGUUUGUUUCAAUCUAGUUAAAUCCGGUGUUUUAGUAUUGUUUAUGUCUAUAUAUUUCAUAAACUCCGCGGACCCCCCUUUUUUGCGGUAUUGUUAAAGUUGGAAACUGUUUUUUGUUUGGUUGGGUUUUUUAAAACCCUUUUAUUUGAAUUUAGAAUUAUAAUUUAACACUUACCUAUUUUAUACAAUGACUUAUUUUAUGUGUUUUGUGGUUUAUCCCUUUUAAACAAUUUCUUCUUUAUGGAGACGAGUUAUGGUCCGGUGAGUUUCAUCUGUGUGCGAGGUCAUGACACAGUCUGUACAUAACGAUUAUCACAUGUAUAAUGAUAUAAGUGGAUGUUAAUCUUUAUUAUAGAUGGUUUUCAUAUGACGUAUUUUGACCCGGGGUUAUUCCCAUUGGCCGCCAUCUUGUAGGUCAAACUGGUGGAUUUUCCUCUUUGGACAACCAAUUUCAAACAUGUAAGGCAGAAAUAUAUGGGGGGAAAUCUUUGCAAUAUUGCAAUUAUGAAGUAAAAGAUGCAUUAACAAAUGUAUAUUAAUAAGAAAAGCAGUUUAUCUCCACCUCAGUGACCAGAAUAACAAGGCUGAUUUUGGUUGAAUAAUGAAGGAAUCCGGGCAUGUUAACCUACAAUAUGGCGGCCAAUGGGAAAUAACUCUUGCUUAAUCGCUUCGAUGGAAAACCAUCUAUAGAGGUACUGGUCUGUUUUUAACCUUUUGAUUGUAUAUUUCAAAAAUUUUAUAUUUUAAUGUAUUUUGUGAUGAAAUAGUUGUGUGAAUGCUUAUACUGUUUGAAACAAUGAUUAAAAACUAAAACAUUA